rnacentral:misc_RNA from 1 species
CUGCCCUCAAGCCCGGCUUGUGUGUUGGGCCCGCGUCCCCCGCCCCCGGGGGACGGGCCCGAAAGGCAGCGGCGGCACCGCGUCCGGUCCUCGAGCGUAUGGGGCUUCGUCACCCGCUCCGUAGGCCCGGCCGGCGCCCGCCGACGACCAACCCCCUCUUUCUCCA